ACACAUGAGGAGGAGAGGCACAGGAGAGGCAGAGGCCAAGCGGAAGAGACAAGGGAGGGGGACUGGUCUCGCUUCAGGACUCAGGUAAUGGAUCCUUAUCUGACAGUUUCAACACCUGGACAUCCUUGGAGCCUUUCAUGCACUAGGACCCCAGGCAGCCAAGGAAGAUGAUGCUGUCAACACACAACAUCUUCUGACCCUGUCUGCCAAGUUUCUUCAAAGGCCAGAUAAUCCCACACUCCUGCAAGAAUCGGCAUCCUACAAGCAUCUGCUGACUGGAGCCUUCAAGAAUAUGGACCGGGUCAGCAUAAUGUCAAAAAUGGCAUUCCAGAAUGAUGAAUGGGGACAACUGUACCCAUGCAGGAGCCAGCUAUCAGCCAUUGCUUUGACAGUGCCCAUAUCAUCUGUGAACUGUGAGAGAGAUUUCUCGGCAAUGAACAGAGUGAAGACAGACCUGAGGAACAGGCUGCAGGGGGACCAUCUGUCAGCAUGCCUCCUACUCAGCAUCAAUGGGCCACCUCUGGCUGAGUUCCCAUAUCACAGAGCAUUAGAACUCUUUUUCAAAAAAGUGAGAAAAAUAAAAUGCUCUCAGCCAGGCUGCAAACUAUGCCAUUAGAUUUACAGCUGUACAGUUGUGCAAUUUUGUUUUUUUUUCCAGUGUUCAUGUUCUGCUGGUUGUGGACUCAGUUGAAAAACAAAUAAAUAAAUUAUUCAUAAACAU